rnacentral:rRNA from 1 species
AGCGAACGCUGGCGGCAGGCUUAACACAUGCAAGUCGAGCGGGCAUCCUUGUGGUGUCUGCGGCAGACGGGUGAGUAACGCGUGGGAACGUGCCCUUCGGUUCGGAAUAACCCAGGGAAACUUGAGCUAAUACCGGAUACGUGCGAGAGCAGAAAGGUUUAUCUGCCGAGGGAUCGGCCCGCGUCUGAUGAGCUAGUUGUUGAGGUUAUGGCUCUCCACGGCGGGGAUCAGUAGCUGUUUGAGAGGAUGAUCAGCCACACUGGGACUGAGACACGGACCAGACUCCUACGGAAGGGAGCAGUGGGGAGUAUUGGACGAGGGAGGCAACCCUAAUCCAGCCAUGCCGCGUGAGUGAUGACGGGCGUAGGGUUGUAAAGCUCUUUGCUUCGGGACGAUAAUGACGGUACCGGAGGAAUAAGCCCCGGCUAACUUCGUG